GUCUGGUGUGAUUCUGAUAGGUCUGCCUUUAUAUGUUACUUGACCUUUUUCCCUUACUGCUUUUAAUAUUCUUUCUUUAUUUUGUGCAUUUGGUGUUUUGACUAUCAUGUGAUGGGAGGAGUUUCUUUUCUGGUCCAAUCUAUUUGGAGUUCUGUAGGCUUCUUGUAUAUUUAUGGGCAUCUCUUUCUUUAGGUUAGGGAAGUUUUCUUCUAUGAUUUUGUUGAAGAUAUUUACUGGUCCUUUGAGCUGGGAGUCUUCACUCUCUUUUAUAUCUAUUAUCCUUAGGUUUGAUCUUCUCAUUGAGUCCUUGAUUUCCUGUUUGUUUUGGACCAGUGGCUUUUUCCGUUUUACAUUAUCUUUGACCGUUGUGUCGAUGAUUUCUAUGGAAUCUUCUGCUCCUGAGAUUCUCUCUUCUAUCUCUGGUAUUCUGUUGGUGAUGCUUGUAUCUAUGGCUCCUUGUCUCUUCCUUUGGUUUUCUAUAUCCAGGGUUGUCUCCCUUUGUGCUUUCUUUAUUGCUUCUAUUUCUAUUUUUAUUCCUUCACUGGUUUGAUUGUGUUUUCCUGGAAUUCUUUCAGGGAUUUUUGUGAUUCCUCUCUGUAGGCUUCUACUUGUUUAUUUGUGUUUUCCUGCAUUUCUCUAAGGGAUUUCUUUAUGUCUUUCUUGAAGUCCUCCAUCAUCAUGAUCAAAUGUGAUUUAAUAUCUAGAUCUUGUUUUUCUGGUGUGUUUGGAUAUUCAGUGUUUGAUUUGUUGGGAGAAUUGGGCUCCAAUGAUGCCAUGUAGUCUUGGUUUCUUUUGCUUGCCUUCCUGUUCUUGCCUCUCGCCAUCAGGUUGUCUCUGGUGUUACCGUGUUCUGCUAUUUCUGACAGUGGCUAGACUGUUCUAUAGGCCUGUGUGUCAGGAGUGCUGUAGACCUGUUUUCCUGUUUUCUUCCAGCCAGUUAUAGGAAAAGAGUGUUCUGCUUUCAGGCGUGUUUUCUUUCUUGUCUACUGGUCUUCAGCUGUUCCUGUGGGCGUGUGUCCUGAGUCCACCAGGCAGGUCGCUUGGAGCAUAAAAGUUGGUCUUACCUCUUGUCUCGGGCCUGAAGUUGCUCCUAGGGGGCUUAGUUUCAGCUCUCUGUGAGUACAGCAACCAGAAGGGCUGGCCCAGCCUUUUCUCGGGUCCCUGUGCACAGGGGGCCCAGAUGGCACUAGGCGUUUUCCUCUAGAGUCAGAAAUGUGGGCAGAGAUUAUUCUCCUCUGGCUUCAGGUUCAGAGGUUUAGUUCAUUAUCAUCAAGGUGAGAGCCUGGCAGUGUCCAGGCAGGCACCGUGCAGGAGGAGCCAAGAGUUCUACAUCUUCAUCUGAAGGCUGCUACGAGGAAACUCACUUCCAGGCAGCUAGAGUGAAGCAUGGAGAAAAUAGGAGCUUCUCUUUCAACUCAGAUCUGGGGGAUGUCAAGACAAAUGCCCUGUCAGGGCUGCUGCGUGGGACAGAACCGCUGCCAGCCAGGGAUGAUCGUGCGGUGUAGAUCAGAAGAAAACGGCCGUGAUUAUGAACUGCCGAGAGUUUGGAUGGCUUCUGCAGCAGAACCCGAAAGGCAUUAAAGUGUGCCCUCAUACCCAGAGUACUGAAUCAUUAGUGUUAGCAUUUAUGUAUGACUAUGGUGAGAAACCACCUUACGAAUAGGUUUUCUUAUUAUUCAGAAGGGCAUUGGGAUUGUAAGAUCUUAAAAUAUGGGCUUUGUUAGUUGGAGAGAUUCUUGAAAAUCUGAACCUGAGAUUUCAGAGACCCAAAUGAUUGCAGAACAGGGAGACAAGAUAUGUAUUUAAAGAUGCUCAUAGCAGAGGAUCCAAGUAGCAGUGCCUGCUAGUCUGAUCCCCACAUUGAAGGUGUGCAUUUUCUGUGAGGUUUACCUUUUCUGGAAAUGUCCUUAAGAUGGUUUCAGAAUGAAGGGUGGAUUUUUUUUUUACAUAUAUGCAUUUGUUUUACGUAUGUUUGUUUGUUUGACUAGGGUGGCACACUCAUGUCCAGUAGGUACACAUGUGGAGAUCAGAGGAUAUCUUUCAGGGUCCUACUUUCUCCUUCCACCAUCUGGAUUCUGGGAACCAACACAGGUCAUAAAGCCUAUUUAUCUGCAGAGCCAUCUUACCUGGACCUCAAUUUGCUCUUGACUUUUUGAGAGCGCUGAGACACUCGGGUCAUCUGAUUGCCGCUACUAGCCCAGUGAUUAAGUAAUAAGUUGUAGUCCUGAUUUCUAAAAUUCCCGAAGGAAACUAAAGGGCCAAGGGGAGAGAGGAGAGAGCAUUGGGGGUGAAGAGAGCUUAAUCAUUAGAAUCUUUGUAUUCUGCGAUGAGAUCUAAUGACCUUGGGCAUAACUCUAAAAAUCUAUUAACCGACUGAAUUUAUCAAUCCUCACUUUCUUUAGGACCGUGAUCAUAAGCAAUGACUCAUCUGAAAAUGCUAGGCAUCCACUGAGUACAAAAUUACACCUAUGCAAUUUCAGAAAGUUUUAAAUAAAUUGUCCGCCUUGCCUUAAUCUGAUAAGUCUCCUAUUUUUUCAAAUAAUGGUUUCUCUCUUUUACAUUUUCUUUUUUUUUUU